UUGUUCGUGUAAGAUUGAAAAUACAGUGCAAUACCGGCGCCGGCCAGUAGGUGUAGGCGCUGUGUGUAUGGAGAGAGAGAGACAGGGAUAGGAAGCUACAUAUUAUCCCAGUUUCUCUCUCCUGACUGAAUCCGCAGGGGAGCAACACAUACAGCCAGAGAGCCUACAGAUCAGGUAAGUGAGCCAAUGGGCAGAGAGAGCCUAUAGAUCAGGUAAGUGAGGCAGGGGGGAGCAGAGAGCCUAUAGCUCAGGGAAGUGAGGCGUGGGGGAGCAGAGAGCCUAUAGAUCAGGGAAGUGAGGCAUUGGGGGGGACAGAGAUGGCCUACAGAUCAGGGAAGUGAGGCAUGGGGAGGCAGCCUACAGGAAGGGUCAGCAAGGAGAAGAAAGGUAAAGUAAGAGAAGGAAUAGAAAUGAGCAGAAAGGGACAGCAAGGAGCACAACAGGUAAAGUAGGAGAAGGAGCACAAAGGAACACAAAUGAGCAUGAAGGGGCUGGAAGGUAAAGCAGCACAAAUGUAAAGUAGAAGGAGCAGAAAGCGUCAGCAAGGAGCUGAAAAUGGCAGGAAGGGACAGAAGGAGCGCAAAGGUGAAGUAGGAGAAGGAACAGGAAGGGGCAGCAAGGAGUAGGAAGGGUCUGAAAAGAGCACAAAGGUAAAGGAACAGGAAGAAGCAGAAGGAGCACAAAGGUAAUGUUGGAGAAGGAACAGAAAAGGGUAGCAAGGACCAGAAAGGGAUCAGAAAGAGGAAGGGGGGAGUAAAAUAAGCAGAAAGUAACAGAAAGGUAAAUGAGCAGGAGUUAAGGAGGAGAGAAGACAGUGUCAGAAGAAAAAGAAGACUUUGUCAAAUAAAAGAGAAGAAAAGGAGAUUGGAGCAGGAAGGACAAAUGAAGUGAACCCUCCACUUUAUUCUGGACACCACAUCAUAAGACUUUGGUACCUGGGCCUGGCAGGGAAACUUUGGACCUCCUCAUCUCCCCAGGUAAAAAAAAUAUCAGUGUUAAUGUGUUCACUUUUAUUUACUGAGUGUCAGGAAGCAUAGAGUGCCGCUGGGGAGGGGUGUCGCUGAUUGGCUAGAGCGGUCAACUGGCACUCUAAGUCAAUCAGUAGCUCCCUAUUCAUAAAAAAGUCAAACAUUUUUAUGAACUGGGAACUAGUGAUUGGCAUAGAGCAUCAACUGACCACUCUAGUCAAUCUGUAGCACCCAUGCCUGAUGUCAAUCUGAACUUCCUGACACUCGGUUUCAGAAGCCGAAUACCACUGAGCGACCUGGAAAUCUGGAGCUGGAUGAAGUCUUUGGGGUUAAACCAUUUGAGAGCAGUUUAACCCCUUAAAGGAAAGAGAGCACCCAGGGGCUUCCUGGCAUCAUAGCAUUUUCAUUUAGAUGAAGUUGUUGUGGUGACCAGAAUGUUCCUUUAAUUUGCUUAAAGGAACAAUAUAGUGUCAGGAAUACAAACAUGUACUCCUGACAGCAUAGUUGUGAAAACCCUAUUCACCCUGGCUUUAUGUGAUAAUGACUAUGCUCCUCCCCUUCAUGACACUGUCAAAAAGGGACCAAGCAUGGAUGUCAUUACAAUUAUGCCCCCCCUGGAAAAAUUCCUGCGGACACCCAUGCCCUAUAAGCUGUCCCUAGUAACCUACAGCACAUCUGUCCAACAGGCCUUGGAACACUUUUGGUGCUGCACAUAAGACAAGCAGUGGCUUGUCCACCACCCCCCUCGCUACAGACUUUGCCCGUAAAGACAGACGCUAACCCUAUGGUCCCUAAAAUAAUGUAGCUUUGGUAUUAGUGGGGGGGACUGCAACGGGGCAUAGGGCUUGUCAUAGUCCAUCUCAUUCAUCUCCUGAUGAAUGAAAGUCGGUGUAGCCUGAUCUGCUGUUUUCUCUAAACACUUCUUAUUUCAGGGAAGAACACAACAAACAAUAAGAGCAAGGAUGAUCAACAUUAUCAGGACCACCACACCUAUUUGAGCCAGAACUUUUUGCCAACCAGAUAUCCACCCAAACCAUCUUUCCCAUGGGUCAGUGACUCCAGAGUUCCUUUUCAAUUCUUCUGAGAGACUCUCUAAUUUCUCUUUUGCCAGAGUUACCUUGCCAUUUGGGCCUGUGUUGUCUGGAAUGUAGGUGCAACAUGUCAUAGUGUCAAGGAGUAUUUUACAUACCCCCCUUUUUCCGCUAGGAUCAUAUCUAAGGCCAUUCUAUUCUGGAAAGUCACCUGGGAUGUGGCAUGAAGUUGCUCUGCCACCCCUGGAGGGCAUCUCUUGUAUAGUUUACAAACCGUUGUUGGUUAUAAUAUAUAUAAUUAAUCCAAUUCAAAUUCUUAUUGGCCAUGAUGAUAGGGAGCAUGGAUUCAAACCCUGCUGCAACUUCAUCUCUUGCCUUGAAUUCAUUAGGCACCCCCCUUGGCACUCCAAUGGAAUCUAUAUAUACAUGGGGGGCGAAACUGCCAUUUACAGGAGUGCCUCUUCUGGUUCUGAUGUGUGAGUGUGACUUGUCAUGUGCAACUUGGUGGCUGUCAGAUAUAAUGUGUAUUGGCAUAAUAACUUUGGCCAGGGUGCACCCCCCCACCAUAAAUUUUCCAGCCUUGACCUAAGCUGCAUAUCCACACAUAACCAAUACAUGUCCCCCAGGGAUUUGACAUGUUUUUAUAGUAGGGCAAGUGGAUCUGUGCUAUAGGUGGCCCACUUUUUACCAGUGAAAUUACUCAAGGACCGGCCUUUUCCACCAUACAGUUGCAAGAAAAAGUAUGUGAACCCUUUGGAAUGAUAUGGAUUUCUGCACAAAUUGGUCAUAAAAUGUGAUCUGAUCAUCAUCUAAGUC